AUGGCCGCGCAGAUGAGCCCGCUCCGCCGGUGGAAGCGCUUCUUCGGCGCCUUCGACUCCGUCGACGCGGCCAUCGAGACCGCCGACCCUGACAUGUGCCGCGACGAGCUCCGGCGCGCCAGGGGCGACAUCUUUGAAGGGCUCUGCAACACCGCCGACGACGGCAAGGCGGAGAAGCUCUGCGGGGUUCUCGACGGCUUGAUGGCAGAGUCCCUCGAGACGCUGCGGUUGACUCUCGUGACGCCGAAGGUGCUCGCCACCACGGACCUCGCCAAGGCCGUCCGUGCGCUGUGGAAGCACGAGUCCGAGCGGGUCCGCGCCCUCGCCAGAGGCAUCAUGAGCGGGUGGAGGGCGUCCGCCCUGCACGACUUCGCCGGAGAGCCGGACAACUUCAACGCGCCUCAGCCCAAGGAGACCGUCGAGCAGCAGCGUGUCUGCGCAACGACGACGGAGCGGCCUUCCUCCAUCGAGAUCGCCGGUCACGAUCAGCAGCAUGCCUCGGCCGAUCUUGACGCGAAGAAGAAGAAGACGGUGGAGAUCAGCAGCAAGGCGUCCGAUCUCGUCGGCGGCAUCAACAUGGCGAAGCCCAAGGAGGUCACCGUCGGUCAGCAUGUCAAUGUCUCGGCCGAUCCAGACGCGAAGGCAAUGGAGGCCGCAAAGCGCAAACUCCAUGAGAGGUACCAGCAAGCAUCGGACGCGAAGCGGCAGCGCAGGGUGCAGGUCGUGGAGUCGCCGGAGAUGCUCAAGCAGAGGCAGAGGAAGAUGCACCCCAUCCUGAGGGAGAGGAGCCUGGCGAGGUGCGCCAGCUCCAUGGUCAAGAAGACGUUUUCGGUCACGAGGCAGUUUCCCAUGGGCAGUUGA
rnacentral:rRNA from 1 species